rnacentral:rRNA from 1 species
UACGGAGGGUGCAAGCGUUGUCCGGGAUCACUGGGCGUAAAGGGUGCGCAGGCGGCCUCGCGCGUCGCGAGUGAAAUCUCCCGGCUCAACUGGGAGGGUGGUCGCGAGACGGCGGGGCUUGAGGCUCGGUGAGGGGCGUGGAAUUCCGGGUGGAGCGGUGAAAUGCGUAGAGAUCCGGAGGAACACCGACGGCGUAGGCAGCGCCCUAGACGAGACCUGACGCUCAGGCACGAAAGCGCGGGGAGCGAACAGG